CCACCUUUGACAUGGCAGGAAGGCUCCAGAGAUGGGGCUGUGCUCGAAAGAGAACCUGCACACAGGUGCUGCAUGGCUGUCGUCAGCUCGUGUCGUGAGAUGUUGGGUUAAGUCCCGCAACGAGCGCAACCCUUGCCAUUAGUUGCUACGAAAGGGCACUCUAAUGGGACUGCCGGUGACAAGCCGGAGGAAGGUGGGGAUGACGUCAAGUCCUCAUGGCCCUUAUAGGUGGGGCUACACACGUCAUACAAUGGCCGGUACAAAGGGUAGCCAACCCGCGAGGGGGAGCCAAUCCCAUAAAGCCGGUCGUAAUCCGGAUCGCAGUCUGCAACUCGACUGCGUGAAGUCGGAAUCGCUAGUAAUCGUGGAUCAGCAUGUCACGGUGAAUACGUUCCC
rnacentral:rRNA from 1 species